GAGACACCUGCAGGAUGAGAUAAUGAAUCAUGUGGGUCAACCACUCCCAAGGCCAAAGGAUCAUCCCAUCUGUUAAUAGUUGUGUCAAUGCCCACUUCAGCCAUGUGCUCCCCCAACUCUGAGUAAUAUGUAUUGUAGGGUGCCACCUGCAGCUUAUGGUUAUCACCAACCAUGAGUGGUCGCUGGGUUACCCCAAGAAAGAACACACAUUCACGACAAUUGGCAAUACAGACUCGCUUUGCUGCUGUAAUCACAUGAACCCGCUCACAGUGCUCAAUCCUUACAGCCUUGCCAACAGCACCAAGAAAUAUAGUAGCAUCAGAGCAUCCAUAGAUGGUGGCAUAUCUCAAGGG
rnacentral:misc_RNA from 1 species